GAAUUCUGUGGGAAUAAACACAACAAUAAAGAGAGAGAGAGAGAAACAACUGGUUUUUGCAGAAAAUGAAAGACAGGCUGCUUAAACAUUUACAGAAGCUCUACAAGAAAUCUUUAUGGGAAAUCCAAUGUAAUGCUAUGAUGAUGUCACUCCUUAGACUCAACUCACUACAUGCACCUGAUGUUGCAGAAUACUGUGGGCAUCCCAGGAGGGAAUGCUGGAGUGUCCUUUCUGAAAACAAGGCCUCAUCAGUAAUGAUGUUUCUUCACUGUGAUUUCUUCGCCAGGAAAUACUUUGAUCCCUGUCUCAAAAUUCAAGAGAGGGAGGGUGAUGGCCCCAGGGACGGGGCACUGGAGGAAAGGGGCAGACACUCUGAAGUAGCUCCUCCAAACUUCAGGGAAAGGGAGUGACUGCCAAACAUGUCUCAUGCCACAGGAACCUACCUCGGCGGGCUGGUCGGCUGGCUGGGGGAUCAGGAGCUGGUUGUGAUGCUGCAGCACAGUCUUCAAAUAAUCCAGAACGG